rnacentral:lncRNA from 1 species
UCUUGUUCAAAGCUGUACAGAUGAAGUUUCCAGCUUCCAUCACAGUAUAAAGAUUGACUCCUGUAUUGAUCCCUAGACCAUUAAGCAUGUAUAUCACAUCCUCUGUGGCCACAUUUCCAGUAGCACCUUUUGCAUAGGGACAGCCACCCAAACCUGCAACAGAUGAAUCCACUACAGCAACUCCCAUCUGUAUGGCUGUGAGGAUAUUGGCUAGCGCCUGCCCAUAUGUAUCAUGGCAGUGAACAGCAAGGGCACUCAGAGGGAUUUCCUUCAUAACAGCUUCCAACAUUCUUUUCAUACUUCCAGGAGUCCCCA